rnacentral:lncRNA from 1 species
CUCACGUCAGGUCUGAGAUCGUGUACGCAAAUCUGAGUCUGUGGAUUUGCGGUGCAGAACAGCAAAAUCUGGCUGAGUCUGAAAAUAACAAACCUCAGCUGUCAUUAAGCAUAAGCAGUCACAUAUUUAGAUCAGAUCAAAACGGAUUCUUAAAACGAAUAAAACAAAAAUAUUUGUUUAGAAAGCCCACGUUUUUACUGAUAGUCUACCACUUUUUUGUAAUAUAAAAUAUGAUAGGCUAAAUAGCCUAACAUGACAACUAAUUAACGGAAUACCUAAUAACCUGCUACAGAGCAGGAACGCAGACACAGUGCGCACACACGCACACGGGUCACAGUGGAGCUGUUCGGGCUGCUGAAGGGCAGGUGGCUCUGUCCCGGACCAGCAGGGGGAACGCUGCUGUAUACCCGGAGAAAGUGUGUGAUAUUAUUUUGGUCUGUCAAGUUUUGCACAACAUCGUAUUAGUGAACGGAGCCUUUGAUGUGUCGGCGCAGCCAGAUGAGCCAAUGCCCAUGGAACCGUGGCAGCACAGCCUCCACUGGGGGCUACACGGAGGACACAGGACCUCAUUCAUCACCUUUAAAACGACCUCUGCCGUGAUGAUGUUUGGUCUGGACGCAGCACCGGGGCCAGAGGGCACGCGCUCUGGGGAGGAGACCUCGCUGACAUGAUGCUGGUGUCUGGCUCUGAAACAUUUAAAAAUACAAUAAAAAUGUAUAUCCAUGUAACAUGUGUAAGCCUAAUUAUUUGUAAGAAAUGUGAACAGUCAGAGUUUGAUAGAUUUUACAAUGCAAGCAAAAGGGGGUUGUUAGUUACCAUUCUGCUCUGACACGACUGCGUCUGCGUCACCUCAGCCGGAGUCCGUUCCUCUGGCAACGCUGUUGACUGCCUCCGUUAUUCUCUUCCAUACAGCGUUUUUAUGACCUCCUUUAACUCCAUUUUUCAGACUGCCAAAAAGCACAUCUUUGUUUUGCUCCACCUCGGAUGUCAGGAUGCCGAUCUCCAUCUCAGAACAGUUUAUUUUCUUGCCAGUGUUUCUUCUCUCCAUGUUUGACGUCAGUGGGCGAGGCCUCCGAACCAGGAAUAUUUAAGGGCGUAACAUGUUAAUGACGAUCGAAUUCAGCCGCCGCAUUUAUCAAGACCCGAUCAUUCCUACGCUCAGAUUGGUCAGAUACGAAUGUUUCAUAAAUCACACGUGUGUCCUGUCGUACGACCAAUUCUGCGCUCAGAUCUGCGCCCGUUUUCACGCAAGAUUGAUAAAUGAGGGCCAAUGAGUCCACAUCAUUGUGGUCUUACAUGGUCCAAGUUCAAAUUAG